rnacentral:rRNA from 1 species
AGUGGCGAACGGGUGCGUAACGCGUACGUAAUCUACCUUUUGGUGGGGGAUACCGACUGGAAACGGUCGUUAAUACCGCAUAAGAAAGCGGGGUCAUAAGAUUCUGUUUUGAAAGGAGCAAUCCGCCGAAAGAUGGGCGUGCGUCCAAUUAGGUAGUUGGCGAGGUAACGGCUCACCAAGCCUACGAUUGGUAACUGGUCUGAGAGGAUGAUCAGUCACACUGGCACUGAGACACGGGCCAGACUCCUACGGGAGGCAGCAGUAGGGAAUAUUGGGCAAUGGGCGCAAGCCUGACCCAGCCACCCCGCGUGAAGGAAGAAGGUUCAUAGAAUUGUAAACUUCUUUUGUCUAGGGAUAAAAGCCGUGUAACUCACGGAAUUGAAGGUACUAGGCGAAUAAGCGCCGGCUAACUACGUGCCAGCAGCCGCGGUAAUACGUAGGGCGCAAGCGUUGUCCGGAUUUACUGGGUUUAAAGGGUGCGUAGGCGGCUUAAUAAGUCUGUGAUGAAAUGUCAGGGCUCAACCUUGGCGCCGUUACGGAUACUGUUAGGCUUGAGUAUAGAUGAGGCUGUUAGAAUGAGUGGUGUAGCGGUGAAAUGCGUAGAGAUCACUCAGAAUACCGAUUGCGAAGGCAGACAGCCGGGCUAUAACUGACGCUGAGGCACGAAAGCGUGGGGAUCAAACAGGAUUAGAUACCCUGGUAGUCCACGCUGUAAACGAUGGAUACUCGA